GACGAACGCUGGCGGCGUGCUUAACACAUGCAAGUCGAACGGAGUGGCGAACGGGUGAGUAACACGUGGGUGACCUGCCCUGCACUUCGGGAUAAGCCUGGGCAACUGGGUCUAAUACCGGAUAGUGUGGGAUGGGCCCGCGGCCUAUCAGCGUGGUGGUGGGGUACUGGCCUACCAAGGCGGCGACGGGUAGCCGGCCUGAGAGGGUGGACGGCCAAAGUGGGACGGAGAAACGGCGCAGACUCGUACGGGAGGCAGCAGUGGGGAAUAUGGCACAAGGGGCGGAAGCCUGAUGCAGCGAGGCCGGGGGGGGGAGGACGGCCUUCGGGUUGUAAACGCCUUUCACCAUCGACGCGGUAGAUGGAGAAGAAGCACCGGCUAACUACGUGCCAGCAGCCGCGGUAAUUC
rnacentral:rRNA from 1 species